GGCCGUGGGGGAUUUUGGGCAAUGGGGGCCAUUCUGAUUCAGCCCUUGCGGGUGCAGGGAGGCAGUUCUUUGGGUUGUUAAAUGGUUUUUUUCCGGGAGGAAAAAUUUGGCUUGUUAGGUUUUGGCGGUUCUGUUAGGAUUAGGAUUGGGUUAAUUCGUGGCCGCCGGCGGGGUUAUUAGGGGGGUUUCAGGGUUAUUCGGGAUUCUUGGGUUUUAAGGGUUUGUUGGGGGGGCCAUAAGUUAGUGGGGGAAGUUUGUGGGUUCACCCUUAAAUUGCCCUUGGUAAUGUUGUUUUUGAGGUUUUGUGAAGUGGGUUGAAAGUGUUGUGGAGCGGUGAAAUGCCUUGGUUUUUCCCCGGACCCCCAUUGGGGAGGCCUAUCCCUUACCAUAUUCUGACGGUGAUGGACGGAAGGGUUGGUUGCCCACCGGGUUUGAUUCCCUGGUUGUUUUCGCUGUUAAAUAUGGGUUCUAGCUGUUUGGUGCACAUUAGGGCAAUGAGUGGUUAAGCGAAAGUGAUAAGUACCCCUGGAGUCUAGG
rnacentral:rRNA from 1 species